UACGUAGGGGCCUAGCGUUGUCCGGAAUUACUGGGCGUAAAGGGCUCGUAGGUGGCCAACUAAGUCAGACGUGAAAUCCCUCGGCUUAACCGGGGAACUGCGUCUGAUACUGGAUGGCUUGAGUUCGGGAGAGGGAUGCGGAAUUCCAGGUGUAGCGGUGAAAUGCGUAGAUAUCUGGAGGAACACCGGUGGCGAAGGCGGCAUCCUGGACCGACACUGACACUGAGGAGCGAAAGCCAGGGGAGCAAACGGG
rnacentral:rRNA from 1 species